AACAAAUAACACAAUUCCUAAUUAAGGAACUGAUCGCAGGCCUUCAUCAUAAUAUUUAUAUUCAUAGCUUCCACUGACUGAAAUCAAAACAAUUCGAUUGAGUUAUGCCCCUCUUUAUGUAUUACUAUACAAAAUACAACAAGAACAUAAAACAAUAACAAUAAUUUGGAAAUCAAUACGGUAUAAAGUAAUUGAUACUCAAAUAACAUACACAAACUAAA
rnacentral:misc_RNA from 1 species